rnacentral:rRNA from 1 species
AAUGGACUUGGCGGCAAGAUAGCUAUUUAGAGGAACCUGCCCUAUAAACGAUGAGCCACGAAUAGCUUUACUUUUGCUAGAGAUCAGUUUGUAUACCGUUGUUGUCAGUAAAUUUUUCAAGAAGAUUUUCAAUUUUGAUAAAUUCAGUGACUUCAAAUAAAGGUGCAGCUUAUGUAAAAGAGAGAGGUGGGUUACAAUUUGUUGGAUAAAAACGGAAAAUUAUUUUAAAAAAUAAUUGGAAGGUGGAUUUAAUGGUAAGUUUUUGAGGAUUUGAUUGUAGCACUGUCUUGUGUACACACCGCCCGUC